CUGCGACACGUGAUGACCUGCCCGCCGCGCCAUAGGGCUCCCGCCGAGCUCUCAUUAGCAUAUUCAAAUCGCCGGGGGGGGCGGGGGAACGGCGGUUGGCGGCGAGCACGCGCCAAGGCCUGACGGGGGCGCAUGUGCACUGUGGCCGCUCGCUCCUGCGCUGGGGGGAGGGGCGCGAGAAAAGGGGCCGGGGGAGGACGGGGCGGGGACCCCGCUCCUUCACCCGCGCGGAACUGGAGAUAGUGGAUGAUGGAUACUACCUCCGCAGCAUCCCAGCUGUUGCAAGGACUCCAAGGACCUUAAGACCACAGCAACGUAUAAGAAGGGUUGCUUUACUUCUAAAGAAGCUUCAGUGAUGACCACCUGCUUUUCUCUAGUAGCACCCAUCCUGGCAUUCUAAUGAAAGCAAAACAUGAUUCUUUAAUUAUUGCUUUUCUGUCUGUCUGAGGAACUGGGUCACUUGGAGAGUUAACUCUUAAAUUUCUCAAUAAUUUAGGCAAUGACCAUCUUAGAUGAAUGAUGGAAGAUGAGUGAGGUCUAUGCCAUGGAAUUCUUCAGACAUUCUUGAAGCAUUUUUCCGUACUUCUCAAACCCACCCAAAUACUCUGAUGACAGAGGCCAUCACUUACCUCCUGCAUUUAAGGGCAAUAAAGUCCAUCUGAAGAAAAGUCUGCCUAGGCUUCUUUUUACCUAGUUUCCAAGGUGUCUGGAGGAAGCAGCAUUAUUUUGAACCUGAAAGCAUCAAAUAAAUUCAUGGGAGAAAAAAAAUUUUUUAAUGAAAUCUCUGAAGGCUCUCUGGUCAACUUGUUAAUAUCUGUAUGCCAGUGGAAAGCAUAUCAUCACAUCUCAAUUCAAUCUUCCUAUGGAAAACAUAGGAGACAAUCCAUUAUCAGUAAAGUGUACUACCAUUUGGCCUUGUUACCUCACUCAGACUAUUCAAAGAACUAGUGGUCCUGAUAAUUGCUCAUAUAAAUGAAAGGUCAUGUAUAUUGUAAACAGACCCAAUCAAGAAAGGGGAAAAACAAACUAGGAAAAGAAUGUCUCUUUUAAAAGGCCACAGGUAAGGAGCAGUCUCAAGAAAAUUUGUAGAACUUUUUAAGGCAGAGAUGUCAAAGAUCCAUUCCAUGGGCUGGAUCCAGCUGCUGGAAGCUUGUCAUCCUGCCAACAGGCCUGGAAAUUUGGCAUUGGGGAAAUGGCAGCGCUGUUAACUGCCACAGGUCUCAUAGCUGCUGCAGCCACUGCUUGUGUCCCUAUUGCUCUGUGCUCCAGUUCGAGCUCAUGGACCAGCUCCAUAUUGCAGAUCUGGUCUGUAGGGAAUUGUGCUACUCCUCAGGCCCACAGGGCCAAAUGAGUUUGACAGCCUCUGUAUUAGGACAUUAGUUCAACAACAACAAUAGCCUCCAAACCCUGUCCAUCUUGUCAACAGAAUUCAAGCUUAUUGCCCCUUAUGCCAGCCUAAUCCCCCUUUCCUGCCAAUACAUUCUAGGGUGUUUCAGUUCCAAAGGCCCCUGCUUCGUGUUACAUAUAUUAUGCAAUUUACUGGUUAAUUAUGCAAUAAAUUCAGACCAGCCACACACACAAGCUAGACUGGCCCCAACUGCAAAGUAAUUAUCACACAAUUAAUUAAUUGGUUAAUCACAGAGUAAAUUUAGAUCACAUAUGCAAAGUAAUUAUUUCACCAUAAAAGUGACUUCAUCUGUAAAAAGAGCCAACCAGCUACAAAGUUAGUGCUUGAAAAUGUGUAACAACUAUAUAGCUGAUUUCUGUCUUGGCUUUAAUUUGUACAUGUAGCAGGGCCCAGAGAAACCCCUGAAAGGGUAGCAUGUUCUCUCAUACACAUAGCCAUUGUUUAGCUUGGACAGACUCAACAGUCCACUGGGGCACAAAAUACAUAAAAUCAGAACCACUAACUGAUGAGACAUUACAAAAACAUUGAUUGACAGAAAACAUCAAAUGCAAAAUGUCUUGGUUAAUUCUUGGACGUAAGGAAGAACUUUACAGUCUGAGCCCCCAAGACCUGGAACAGACUGCCGCCAGAGGUGGUGCAAGCACCUACUCUGGAUUCCUUUGAGAGUCAAUUGGACGUUUAUCUUGAGGGGAUCCUGUGACCCCAGCGGACUUCCUGCCCCUGGGGCAGGGGGCUGGACUCAGUGAUCUUCUGAGGUCCCUUUCAGCCCUAAUGUCUAUGAAAUCUACGUAUAUGGAAUUCAUAUGCAUAAUACUCCCAUUGAGUCACCCUCAAGAUAGAGUGUUAGAAUGGCAAAAAUACAUUGAUCUUUCUUCAACAUGACUUUUCAACAGUCUUUCAGAAAGCCAAUUAAACUCUUUUUAAAAGAAACUUUCUUGGGAUGCUAGAUUCUUGCAGAGAUUUUGCUGCUGUGAGAUUCCCUCUGAGAUUGCUUCCAAGGUUUUUUUCUGUCUCUUUCUGCAGACAUUUUUUCCUGCUUACAUUCAGUCCUCCCUGGAGCACUGGACCUUCCAACACAUUUCCUAGCAUAGCAACCCAACACACUCUUAAUAGGGAUGCCAGGAACUGGCAUGCAGAAUUCAUCUAGCCAGUCAACUGGUCCAAAAACAUCUGUUCCACUCCCACUCAGCUUGAACUAUAAAUUGGCUACAGCUAAGACUUACACACCUGGUCCUGCAAGCCCCUCCCAGGGAGGUGAAACAGUGUAGUUACCUAUAGAUCAGAUGUUUUCAACCUUUUUUCAUUUGUGGACCCCUGAAAAAUUUUGAAUGGAGAUGCAGACACCUUUGAAUUGUAAGUGUGGGCAUUCACUACUUUUGACUGAUCAUGGUAAUUUUUUGCAGACCCCUUAGACAUAGUCUGCAGAUCCCCAGGGGUCUGUGAACCACAGGUUGAAAAUCACUCCUAUCACACAAUGACUGUUUUUUCUGAACAAGGGAAUGACACCGAUUUGGUUUUCCACAAGUUAUCUGCCUGAGAGCCACCCUGUCUACAUUCUGUACUUGAGACCUAGGAAUUCUUUCCAUGAGGUCAUAUUAUGGCUGGUGAAGUGUUGCCACACCCCAAUAUUUAUCCAGCCUUUAUUCUAUUUCUCUGAAUACUCUGCACUCAUCAUUUCACCCUGCACAAUGUCUGCAGGGCAGUUUGCAUGCUUCAUAGCAGAUCUAGGCCCUGGCACUGGGUUAUAUGGCCUGUGGGGCUCCCCACUAGUACAUAGGGUGUCUCCCAUGUGUAUGCACAGCAGCAUGGGGCCUGAUCCUGGUGUAUGGGACUCACAGAGGUGGGUAUAGGGCCCUGAUCCCAGCGUGCAGGGCUGGGCGCUGCCCCUGGCACACAGGGCCAGGCAGAAACAGAAUGAAGUAACAGCACAUUGGGCCAGGUGGAGGUGGCACAGGGCCCUGAUCCUGGCAUGUAGGCUGUGUGAGGGUGUCAUGGGGCCCUAGGAGCCUAUCCAGAUGCAUGGGAGUGGCAUGGUCCAGUCUUGGCAUGUGUGGGGUGGAUCUGGCCCAUGAGCCAGCCCUGUCCCAUUCCCUUGGCCUGCAGGGCCAAAACUUUGAGCACCACUGUUGUAUAAAAACAGAUAUGGUAUAACUUUGUUUUCCAUCCAACAGUUAAACAAAAAUGCCUUGAAAGCAUCACUAGCUAACUAGGAAUUUAUACUGAAGAAACAGAGCAAAAGGCUUAUGUGGUCUGGGAUCUGUCAAACCUAUCAAGCCAAAAAAUUUCCUACUUCACAGUGGAAAAAUCCUUAACAUCCUGUGAAGAAAACUGGAAGCUUAACACAUGAUCAUCUCUACUUAAUUUUUUCAGAGACCUCAAAUUAAGCGUAUGGUGAUGAUGACAAAUUGUCUGUUGUAGAAUUCCUAUCCAUAGGAACAUGCCGUGUCUAUUUAAUUAGCUGGUAUGCAUGCAUGUUUCUUUGUUACUAAAUGUAUACAUAUUAAGGCCUUCAUCCCACAAAGUGGCACAGAGUCCCAGUGAAAUCAGUGAUGCUCCAUUCUGGUACAGCAGACUUACAGAAAAAGCUUUUGUGUAUGCAUAGAUCCAUUUUGUAAAGAGGGCACAUAAGGUGUGACUUGCAAAUAUGCAAAAUGGGUAAUUUCAAGCAAGUGAAAAUUCAUAUCUAGUGUUUGAAACUAUUUGGAAUUUAAGGGGAAAAAAUUCAUCCUAAUACUGAUCACCCCAAUUUUCAGCCAAGUUUUUUUCUUGCUCCAGUUUAGAGAAGAGCAGAAUAUCAGGCUUAUAAUGGAACCUUGAUUAUAAUAACAGUGGAGAGAGAUCCUCUUCCAUUAUAAGGACCUGCACACACAAAAAUGUUGUUUUGUUCAGCCAUGAAUUCUUGAGCUGUUGGAAAUGGCUCUGAAUGUCACGCUGUUGCAGUUGUAGAGGCUUGAACGUUCCAGAACUGGCUUUGUUCUUUACACGUUCCUAUUUCAUAUUUCCAAAGCAAUACACUGUGCAUGCCUCUUCCAAACAUUAGUUUCAAAUUUGAAGUCCACAAUCCAUUAUCUUGCAAUCCAUACCCUGGCCAGUAAAAAUCAGGUAUGUAUUUCUUCAUUUUCAUUUCCUACUAAUUGUACAUUUUAAUUCUGUUAUUAAAUUAACACUUUCCAUUAGAUUUUUUUUUUCUCUUUUCCUAGUCUAAAAUACAUUUAUAUUUCUGCUGUCUUAGGGCCUGAUUUAACCACAUCCAUGCAUGUUGAAUAGCCCAUAUAAGGAAUAUUGUUAACAUUGGCAUUAGAAGGCAACUCCUUGAGUAAGGAACUUUAACCACUUUAACCCUUUCACUCUCAACUAUUUAUAAUAUAUUACUAAUUCUUUUGUACUUCCAUUUAACUUUAUUUUAGUUAAAUAAGUGCCUUAUCUAGCCCAUUACCUUUCCCUUUCAGGUUCUUUUUUCUCUUCAUUGUUUUCUUUUCUAGAGAAAUUGUUUCUUCUGACCACUUAGUUACACAUAGACUAUAAUUCUCUACAGCUAUUUGCAGAACAAAAAGACACUUUCUUUCUCCUCACUGGUCUUUUCAUUCUCACUUUUGUUUCUGAUUGGCUGUCUUGUCUGCCUGUCUUUAAUAAUAGCCAGUUAAUACUUUCUGAUUCUAGGACAAGCUCCCAGAGAAUUAGUUAUCCAAAUUGCCACUUUAGAGGUAAAUGACAAACAUUUAAUCCAGUUAUAGACCAAGGCAAGAGGGUAGAACUUGUUCACCACACCUUACUAAUCAUAUAAGACUAUCACCUUACAAAGCACUGGAAAAUUGCACAUAAUUCCAUUUACUUUUCUAGAAAAAGUAAUUUUUACAUGUCCUGUGGAAUGGUUCAGCUUUUCUCCAAACUUAGUUCUACUCGUUUCAUUGCUGCAUUGACUCUCAGUUUCCUAAUACCCCAACAUUUUCACAUUGAAAUGUAUUACCCUCUUUCUAAAGUUUUAAAGUAGCUGCCAUGAAAAUAUUUACAGACUACUUUUGUCUAAUUAACAUUAUCAAAGUAUUCCUAAAAUUAGUGAAGCAAAUUCUGCUUUAGCCUUUGUUGUUCUCAGUUUGAAAAUAUACUGAAACGAUGACCAUUGUCUGAAUCUCUUUUUUUUGGUACUUGAACUAGUCUUCAAAUAGGCAUUGCCAUUAGUACCGAACUGUCCUAUAGCUCUAUCAUAGUAAUUUCCUCCCAACUGGCAAUAAGUAAACCUUGGAUGCCUUUUUCUCUGCUUGAAUUCUCUGUUUUCUGGAUUGUGAAAUUGUCCUCUGCAUAAUUUAAGAAUUAUUUCAUGAUCCAUGGUUCACAGUGUUUGUUACCCUACAGAUGCCUAGACAGUUAAUGACCUCUAUGGCUGCAUCCAGAUGAAUGUAGCCAUGCAGUAUAUGGUGCUGCAGACACGUCUGUAGUGCCAUAUACCGCACAUUCAGUUGUUCUCCACACUGCAACGGAACAGCACAGAGGAUUCUUUGAUCCCUGGAUAUCCAGGGGUCAAAAAAACCUGCGGAGAAAAAAAUGGGAGUGGUGCACAUAUGGGCAGUGCGUGCCAUUCAGAAGCAAAACUGGGCUGCCCGGAGCCAUGCUGCAGCUGCUAGCCAGGCUCUGUGUGGCAGAAUUGCCACUGCUGCAGCCCUGGGAGGCUCCCAGGACCCCGGAUAAGGCUGCUGAGGCCAGACCAGUACUGGCCCCAACCUCCCCUACUACGCUUGGGGUAACUUGCCAUGUGCCAGAGGGCAAGUGGCACAGGCAUUCCGUGGGGAUUAGCAUCAGCACACCUUGUGCCGCCACUGCUAGUUCUGCCCCGGGAACCAAAUGUCCACACCAUGUGUGGAUGCAGCCUAUGAGUACAGUUCUGUAGUUUCUUGUCCCUCAAUAGUUGGCUCAGACAUUUUUCUCUCUUCUACCAUGAGUUCAAAUUAGCAUAAGUCCCUUUCCCAAGGAACAAAAGCACAAGGAGUAUAAAAUCUUCCCCUCAGGAUAGUUACAUAAACAUCUGGAUUCUCCCCACCCUUUUUCCACUCCCCCAAUUUUAUUAUUCUCAAAGCACAGAAUCAAAUGCUUGGCCGCCUUCUCUUGUUUGUGUGUGCAUAUUCCUGUGUGUGCACGUGCUCUUAAUUUUUUCUUCUGGCCAAGGAAAGGAGAUAAGAAAGCUGAAACAAAUUCUUUUUUUUUUUUUUGAAGAAAAGAAAAGGUGUUUAAAAUAUGAGGCAAACAGAAGACUCUUAUCCUACAGGCUGGAAGUUGCAAAGGCUUCUCUUGGAGGUGGAUCAGUUCUUAUCUCCCUAGUCCUUGGCGUAGGCUUCCUAAGUGUCCCAGAAAAGCCCGUGAUCAGCGUAGUCCUCCUUAAUUCCAUGCAUAUGGGAAGUAUUCGUGGUUUCUCCUUUGCCUUCCCUUGUCUUCCCAAUCACUCUACACUGAGAAAGGAGGAACUUUACUACAGGCCCUUUAGCUCAAUCUGUGUAUAUAUGGCUUUUCUCUCCUAUAACUCCGCAAAGAAGAGAGAAUUCCUGAGAGGCAGGUUUAUCUCCAACUACCACCUUAUGGGCCUAGAGGGUUGUUAUAUGUUCCUAUGGCUUUAGAGAUGCUAGAACAGCUAUUGUAAUACAUUUUGCUUCUGCCUUAGAGGUUCAGCAGCUAGGCAAUAACUACUCACUGCUUGCUGCUGCAAGAAAGUUUUCUGAUGUAGCAGGUGAGUUCCCCUUUUGACCUCAGAGCACUGCAUGGACUUAUGGUGGAACCUUUUAAAUAGCCCUUUGUCUCUAUUCUGACUCAAACCUCUGCAAGGAAUCCUUUCCUCUCUGCAUGCAUCAAGUAGGGAGACUGUUCUAGGUCCAAAACGCCUGAACUCCAAGGACUAAUCAGACUGCUAAGACAGAGUCUGCGUAAAUUAAUGCUAAGACUCUUUUGUCAGUCUUAACUAGAAGCUCUUGUCAAUAUUGUUGAUUAAUUUACAUUUCCCCAGACCUGUGUUCUAGGCCUUCUUUAUAAAAGAGGAGGCUUGAACCUGUAUCUUUUUGACUUCCCAGCACAGUUCUCUACCCACCAUCCCCCAUGUUAGUCAUUAGCCAAAACGUUCUCUGCUCUCCAAGGAAAACACGAGUCUCCUGCUUCCUGGGCAAGUGCCCUAACCACUCAGCUAUUGGGGCUAAAAGAGUCAUAGAGCUGGCUCUCCCUCCUCCAGCAUCUAUUACCCGUUAGCAAUAGACUUCUGGUCAACUACGUUUUCAUUAUUUACACACGCGCACACACACACACACCAGUGUGCAUGAAAGCUGCAUACUUGCCCAUCCACUGAGUAACCUACCACACAUGCUCAGUGUGUGUACAUGUGCUUAAACUUCCAUAGUGCAGGGGUAAUAGAACUGAAUUUGUGUGUAAGUGCAACAAAUACCAUCUAUGUAGCUCAAAAACUGCCAUUUGGGCACAUGAAGGGAAAUAAAAGUCUGCCCUUUUUCAGGGGAUUUUUUUUCAUCUCCAACACAGGUACAAUUGUGGGUGGACAUUGCUUUUUCCUCUCUUAAAAGUAGAGAUCAGCAUAGUAACAAUUUUGGCCACUUUUUGGAGUAAAAACUUUGCUCUAUAGAGAGUGUUUCCUCUCCAUUAAUCAUUUCAGGGGGUGGCUGGCUCAAACCCAGGAUAAGGGCACUUUACCACUGUUUCUAAAACCAGAAAGUAGUUUGUCUUUUCCAAGAGGGCUGACAGUGACUGUACAGCUAGCACAUCAAAAUCAAAGUGGACUUUAUAGAUUCCACAUAGAGACAUAUCAGUCUAACACUGUAAGAUACUCAAGGCAGUCAUCUGUUCCACUUUUAUGGCUGCCAUAAUUUAACCUCAACCAAAACUUGGACCUUCAUGUUUCUGGAGGAUGAUCAUGAGGUAAGCAAACAAGCCAAAUGGUCUAGUUCUUCAUGAUACCAGUUUUAAUUGUGCCCAUCUGCUGGAUUGUGCUGGAUCUGCUGGUCUGUUGGGACUUCCACAUUUGGUCAUAGAACCAUUUAAAGGACUGGUGUGCUUAUUCACCUGUAAAAGAGAAGGUGAGUAACACAUUACUAAAACAGAAUAAACUUGAAGAGCUUGGUUAAAUGACCCAAAACUGUUUAGAAAGGGGGCAGGGGAGGCUAAGGCUUCCUACAUUCACCAAAUCUUAUACACUAAGGGUGUCCUUUCAGAGCUUUCUUUGUCGAAAAAAUCCUUUUCAACAGAAGGAAAUCAGCAGCCCUUUAGGUUUAGGAAUUAUUCACCUUUGAAAUCAAACCGCAAGCACAUCACACUUCAGGAAGGAUGUGGAGAAGCUUGAGAGAGUCCAAAGGAGGGCCACGCACAUGAUUAGAGGUCUGAAGAGCAGGUCAUACGAGGAGAUGCUGAAAGACAUGGGACUCUUCAGCCUGGAAAAAAGAAGACUUAGAGGGGACUUGGUUGCAGCCUAUAAGUAUGUAUGUGGUUUACAUCAGAGCCUGGGGGAGUAUCUGUUCACCAAGGCACCCCAGGGGAAGAUAAGAAACAAUGAACACAACCUGCUUGAAGAUCACUUUAGAUUGGACAUAAGGAGAAAUGUUUUUAUGAUUUGAGUGCCUAUGGUCUGGAACAGACUCCCUACAGAGGUGGUACAAUCACCUAACCUGGGGAUCUUUAAAAACACAACUUGAUGCACACCUUGCUGGGGUCAUCUGACCCCAGCAGUCUUUCCUGCCCAAGUGCAGGGGGGCUGGACCCAAUGAUCUUGUGAGGUCCCUUCCAGCCCAUAACAUUUAUGAAUCCCUAAAGCAAGAAAUGAAGCAGUUUUACCAAGGAUCUACUGUAUUUCCUACAGACUCAGGGUGGUGUGCUAUUUCGUGGGAUAUGUACCUUUCCAUACACUUUCAGUAAGUGUACAGAAUGGUUGGGUUAGCAUUCACCGAAAGAAGUCCCUGUCCCUACUGGUAACUGACACAAUGCUAGUAUUUUGUUAGUAAUAACCACAUUACAAUGGCUUCUGCCAGAUGUGUCUGCAUUAGACUUUUUUUCAUAAAAUAUCCUGAAAUUGUGGCCAUGGAUGCCCCCUGCCCCCCACAGGUGUGCUAGUCACAGAUAGCAAAGACCAGUGUUUUAAUCAUAGUCUUGUUUAACUCUGCUCAGAGAAGAUCUAGAUAAUGCUGUAGUUGAAACUCUGGUGGCCUUUUCAAUCUAGGAGUGCCCACUAGUGGAUCACUAAGACAGUAGCAAAGAAAUUUCUCUGAAAAAAAGUCUGUGAAUGAAAACUGUUGUAUGAAGGGAAAUGACACUCCUUACAGAAUAUACAUGUAUUAUUUUUAUAGUUAAACUAAAGAAAGAUUAGGUAGAACAUCAUUGCCUUUAUAUAUGUAGUUAAUGCAGCACAAGAAGGAAGUUCAGUUACCUUUUUAGGUAGAUUUUUAUGGGUUAUUUGUUCUCUGUUUUCUUAAUAGAAGAUAUACAUCAAUAAUAUUCCUUAGUAUUUAAUAUUUAAGUUAAAAUAGGGCAGGAAGCUAAAAAAAAAAUCAAGUAAAAAUAUCUCGGGUCUAGAAAUAUUCAAGAGUAAACAGCUGAGAAGAAUAGGAAUUAGUGAGAUGAAAGAUCUACUAAAAAUAUAAUGGAAUAAUUCUGGAGAAACCAAGGUUUCUGUAGGUGACAAACUGGGAGGCUCAACAUGUGAGCAAAACUACUGGGUAAUCAGUGAUGAAAUAAUAAAUAGAAGUAAGACUGCAUACAUGGCAAGGAUUGCUUAUAGGGCAAAAUGUAGGAGCUUGGGAGUUCUCAUUUACAGCCUACAUACUGACACAGCAUCCCUCAUUUUUUGUUUCCACACAGUCACAGGCAGUUCCAGAAGCAACACCACUUGCAAAGUAGCUAAACAGUAUCUUUGUUUCAGUUAAGAUGUUACACACUAAAAUUGAAAGACAAGCAUAAUUUUAAAUCUACUUUUUCUUCAUAAUUUGUCUCAGGAGACUCCAAACACAGCAGUUUUCAUACUUCAUAUCUCAGAGGUUUCCAUUUUCCAAACUUCUGAACACAAUAAACAAUAAUAGUGGAAUAUGGAAGAAAAUGGAGCUUUAAAUUUCACUGCAUACAUGGGAUGCUAUAUUCUUAGAAGCUAUCAUAGGCAAUAAUAUUCAAUAUAAAUGCUAAAACAAUCAGAAAAACUUAAUGUCUAAAUCUGAAGGUGAAUUUCUUAGGAAAAGUUUUCUGGAAUUGUAUUCUGAAACAAAUUCAGAUAAAUCAGUCUUUCAAAAAAUGUAUUUUCCAUAAAGUUUUUAUUCUUCCCCUUUAAGAUUUCAGUAUCUUUUUUUAAGGUUUUAACCAAUCUACAAGUAAAAACAUCUACCUUAAAAAUAUUAUUUGUGAAUUUGUUAUGUUCACAGAUUCAUAGAUGUUAGGGUCGGAAGGGACCUCAAUAGAUCAUCAAGUCCGACCCCCUGCAUAGGCAGGAAAAAGUGCUGGGUUUAGAUGACCCCAGCUAGAUGCCUAUCUAACCUCCUCUUGAAGAUUCCCAGGGUAGGGGAGAGCACCACCUCCCUUGGGAGCCCAUUCCAGACUUUGGCCACUCUAACUGUGAAGAAGUUCUUCCUAAUGUCUAGUCUAACUCUGCUCUCUGCUAGCUUAUGGCCAUUAUUUCUUGUAACCCCCAGGGGCGCCUUGGUGAGUAAAGCAUCACCAAUUCCCUUCUGUGCCCCCAUGAUGAACUUAUAGGCAGCCACAAGGUCGCCUCUCAACCUUCUCUUGCAGAGGCUGAAGAGGUCCAGGUGUCCUAGUCUCUCCUCAUAGGGCUUGGCCUGCAAGCCCUUAACCAUACGAGUGGCCCUUCUCUGGACCCUCUCCAGGUUAUCCGCAUCCCUCUUGAAGUGCAGCGCCCAAAAUUGCACGCAGUACUCCAACUGCGGUCUGACCAGUGCCCGAUAGAGGGGAAGUAUCACCUCCUUGGAUCUGUUCGUCAUGCAUCUGCUGAUGCACAAUAAACUGCCAUUAGCUUUUCUGAUGACUUCGUCACACUGCCGACUCAUGUUCAUCUUGGAGUCCGCUAGGACUCCAAGAUCCCUUCCUGCUUCCGUGCCACCAAGCAGGUCAUUUCCUAGGCAGUAGGUGUGCUGGACAUUUUUCCUCCCUAGGCGCAGCACUUUGCUUUUCUCCUUGUUGAAUUGCAUUCUGUUGUUUUCUGCCCAUAUGUUCAACCUGUCCAGAUCUGCUUGUAAUUGAUCCCUGCCCUCCGGUGUGCUGGUCUACAGAAACAAAGUGUGGUCCAUGAGAGGUCAUUUCAAGCAUACAUUUACAGUCACACAGUUCUUUAUAGUAGUAAGGCUUUAAUCACAGUUUGUGAAAAUGCAGUGAGCAGAGGCACUGGAGAAAAUAGACGAGUCUGCUGAAUUUGAUGACUAUUGAGCACUACACAGACCCAGGCAUUUUUACCUUUUUUAUGGAGUUAUCUUUUUGUGUGAACAAGUCCUUCUGGCUUAGCAGGGGUGAUUCAGAGGGAUAGGCUUCAGUACACUGAACUCUGGCUCCAUGUCAACUAAGCACUUUUGAAUAUGCACUGAAUCAGGCAAAAUGCAAUUUGUCUCCCAAUCUACACACCAUCUCACAGAGGAAAGCGGACUGGACACAGAUUAUUUAAAUAGCUUAACGGGGCACUUUGGCAAUUUGGCCUCUGCAUUUAACCAGUAUAAAAUAGUAAUACAUUUCUAAUUAGGCAAGGGCACGUUCUCACAGUAUUACAUGCUGUUGUUAAUGUAGCCUUUGAUUGUUGAGCACUUUUUAAAAAGGACCACAUUUUGGCAGCUUCUGUAAGGAUGCCAUCCAGAUUGCUAAAGGGAUGCUACCAAACCUUAAUCAGGAUGAUCCCAAAGCUUGCUAGAUUUCCACAGAUCGUGUUAAUUAUAUUUGAAGUUUAUGAAAUGUCAUCCUCUUGCAUGAUCAUGUCAUGAUAACAUAAUCAAGCAGUAAAAAAAAGUAUUAAUUUGGAAGGUGGCAUUGAGGUAUAUGUCUCUGUUGUCAGUAAGGAGAAAAUAAUGUGUUUUCUGAUAAAUUUUCUGAAAGGGUAACCCCACAGUAUAGUUACCUCAAAAGUAAUUAUACUGCUGGCACUGCAGCCACAUCCAGCCCCAACUUCAUUGGACCAAUCAGCUUUCACUUCUCCAUAUCGCUUUACUGAUCCUUGUUUGGAUUAACUCUCAUUUGUGCUGUAAUUGCCUGCUCCGGAAAACAAACUUUGAAAGCUCUGUAGAAUCUUACCCCACUAUAUCAACUGAGAUGCCAGAAGAUGGAGCCAGAGAGCAAUUUUUUAAACAAGGAGCCAGCGAUGAUGAAUACAAUUUAAUCUCUGCUCCAACCCAUGAAGUCAAACCGGAUUGCAGAUGAGCAAUGAAAGAAGGUGCUCUAGUAUGCUGGCAGUGAGAGUAUCUGGACCUUGGUUCUGCUGAUUGUAACCAUGCCAGUAACUGCUAAUUCCCAGAGCUAUGCUGACACCAUAUAACAGGUAAAUGCAGAACAGUACUAUCACUAACACAAGCUAUGAUCAUUUUAUUCACAUUAUCAACCCAGGAAUAAAACCUAUACCAAAUAGAAAAGGCCAAAACCAGUGGACUGAAGAACAUUUCAGUUUCCAAGCAGAUAUAACAAAAUACAGAAUAAAAGUAAAUGAACAAAAAUGAUGAGGAUCAUUCCUGAGAAGCAAGGAUUAAAUUAUGUUGAUGUGAUAUAAACAAAGGUUCACUUUCAGGUGCAGUCUGCACUGCUAGGCAGACAAAGUUCUUUGGGAAAAUCCAAUAACUUUUAUUAAACCAACUCUACACCCCUGUCUGCACUACUAUAAUAUGGAACAUUUUCAGUUAAAAUUUGAACAGUCAGGAGCAAUGAAAAAUUGGCUAUUGCUCUUUCUCCCUCUCUCUUUCUCUUGUAUCUUCCAAAAAUAACAUGCCUGUUUUGGAUUUUUUUGGUCUAUUUGUUUGUAUCCUCCAAGAAUGCCAUGCCUAUAACUGAACUUCCUGUUUCACAAUUUACAGUAAGAAAACAAAUCCUUGGAUGUUAUCAACACUCUUUAUUUUUUUCCAGUUUUGUUUUCAGAGAUUACUAAUAUUUAUAAAAAAAGAUACAAGCCCUUCAAUGCCAAGAAGAGAGGCAUGUAAUGAUUUUCUUUUCAAGGGGCAUACACUUUUUAAGAAUGUGCAUGUGAAAUACUAAGUAAACACACAAUGUUUGGUGUUCGAAUUUAGAUCCAGUACUUUCUGCCAUGUUUACAUAGAAACAAUUUAACCUAUGCUACCCAACCAGGAAAAAUAGCCAAUUUUUCACUAAUAUGAAGAACAACAUAUUUGUUACAAAAACAGGUUUUUCUUGCUUUUCUUUCAAAAUGAUUAGCUAGAGAAACUAUACACUGGGACUGUCCAAUGCCUGCAAAGGGGCUCAUUUGCAGCCCCACAGACUCUCAUCUGGCUUUCACCCCUUAUGUUAGUUGGCUAGGAGGCUACUGAAAUCCCUCGUCCAGUAGUGCUAUACUUGGGGAUAAAAUCAAGGGACAACUUAUGUUCAAAGAAUAGAAAUCUGAGGGAGUUUUGUAGUAGGUUUUAGCAUGUUACUACUUUCCUGUGAUUCAUAUUCCUGCUUAUUUUAACAAACCUGUGGCUACAUCUGGAACCUGCUUACAGGAGGAGCAUGGAGAAAACUUUGUUUUGAUACUAUGUGGAGUUCCUCUUUUAUAUUUUGAAAACACUAUGGUUUACGCGAAAGUGAUUAAAGCCCAGGCCUAUUUUAAGGUUUCUUCCCCAGCUCAAGCAAUGCUCUACAUCCUGAAGAUAUACUCUCACUUCUUAACUACUUGCUUCUCUCAAGACCUCUGACUGUCAGUAGGCAUGUCUGCAUGUGCUAUUAGCAUGCGGCAAUAAACUCCGGCACAUAUCAUUCUGGAGUUUAUUGUUCCUGGGUGUGCUGUUUGAAUGUGUGCCUAGGACCACAACACAUUGACCCAGGUCAGAGCAGCCCCAGCUGGCAGGGAGCCCACAGGGGUCAGCCUGCCAUCCCAGGGCUGCUCCAACCCAGCUCUGUGGUGCAGAGGGGCUGGCUGGAGCACAAGGGUGGUCGAGUGCAGGGCUAGCCAGCAGGCAGCCCUGGCACUGAAGAUUGCUCAUGCCCUAGCCAGCUGGGUCAGCAUCUACACGUACACUGCUAUGCACAAAAAAACUCCAAAGUAGGGCAGUACUUGUAUUUAAAAACAUUACCCUGCUACUGAAUUAAUAAGCUUCUUGCGGCCUAAUAGGGCUGCAUGUGUAGACACCGAGACAGUAAACAUUUUAUGUAGGUGUGCCCUAUAACUAAUCUUUUGAGAGAAGGCCUCUUUAAGGCCUUUACUCUUGUGUCUACAGUGCUCCCAGCCAUUGGCUCUCUGAGAAUAAUGCCCAGUUCAAUUGUUCAACUCAAAUUCCUUCAAUAAAGGCUUGUUAUGUUUCUGCUAGAACACCAAAUAUAUAUAUUUUUAAUAUAUAUUUUUUUUAAAUCAGAGAAAACUAGGAUCCCUAUACAUCACAAACAGCAGCACAGGCAGUUUCCUUUCUACAUGCACUUAACCCAGAAUGGCAAAGACCAUUACUGAUGGUACAAUUGCAUCUUGUUCAUUUAGCACCAGCUCACUUCCUGGAACUGCUCAAUUUAAUGUAAAGAAAGUUUAUACGGUUAAUAUGAUUAUGAGGUUAUGCAAUGUGAAUGUGUCUUCAAGGAAAUAAUUUGAAACCACAAAUUAAGCCAGUAAUAACCCACCAGUGAUAAUGAAUUCAGGCAAGGUCUCUCCCUUUUUCCCUAUAUUGCACCCCCUGAUUUAAACUAGUAACUUAAAGGCACAAAACUUUAUAUAAUACUCCAGCCCGGGAAUCACUUUUUAAUUACAGUUUCUUGGUGACCUUUCUAUUAAUUGUUGCUUCCCAAAAAGUUGAGAUCUGGGCAAGAGACUAAAAGUAUCACAGUAAAGUUCAUUGAAUUAUUUUUCUGUGCAAAAUAAAUAGUAUUAUUGUUUCCGAUAUUAGGCAUGUGGAAAUUUAUUAGGCAUUAUGGAAACAUGAAGAAAGGCAUGGUCCCUGCCCUGAAGAAUUAGUUUUCUAUUCAUCUGCUUCUUAAGUAUCUACUGGGCAUCAGCAUAUGUUCCAGAUGAACAAUGGGCAUGUUUACGCAAUCAUUAAUGCACUAUUGUUACAGUGCAUUACAUUUAGCACCUCUAAUAUGAGGUUCUAACUAAAUGCGCAAUAAGUGGCGCUACUGCACAGUAGUGCCAGCACACAGUCUUUUUGUGAUGCUUAAUGUGCAGUAGACUAUGCAUUAGCCUGGCUUUUUGCCAUGAUCGCUAAAGCACAGUAGACUUAGUCUACUGCACAUUAAGUGGCUCAUAUAGAUGCAUCCAAUGAGUACCCUAUUUGCCUACUCUGUUGCCAAUGUUCUGGAUGUUGAUUUGGCAGGAAAAGGUCAACUGUUACCCUUUUGUUUUUCACCUGUGAAGUAUCUAGUUUGUGCUUCUACAGCUGACAGUAUUUUGACAUGAACUGCUCAAUAAAUAUAUCCAGGUCUAAUGGAUUGAUAACCUUCUCAAAAUUUAUCUACUCUCUGAGGCAGCAGUGCUCAAUUUCCAUGAAAAACUAGUUUCUGGUGGCUAGCUGUGGCUGAACCUAAAGAUACAGCUGCAAUAAUUUCUAAAAAGCAUGUAUGUAGUAAAAAACAGUGACCAAGACAUAUUUACUGUGUUUUUUCAACAUUUUUGCAGGCUUUGACUGCCUGGUCUUAAACAACAUAGACCUCAAGAAUAAAUGCAUUUCACUGGGCUUGAGCAGCAUGCGAACAUAACUUUGAGCAAAUUAUUUGACAUCCCUCUGCUUCAGUUAAUCCACCUGGGUAAAAAGCAGGAACUUGCUGAAAACCAGAUGCUGCAAUUAUGUUGAGUUUCUCUAGGGAAAGCUGAUUUCCAGUGGUGAGCCUUCAGCUCCUCAUUUGGGAAAAAAGAAAGCUGAAUCACAAAAACAUUCUAUCAUCAAUCCAUAUUAAUACUGCAGUGGUGUUCCUGCAAUUGAUUUUACAUGCUGGAUCUGUAUUUCAUUCCAUCCUACCUCAACACUCUGCAUAAUUUUUGAGACUCACUCAGAUAAUGUUUUCUAUAUCCAAUCAAUACAAUAACCUUUGGGUAAGACAUAAGAGCAAUAAUACAAAAAAAAAUAUUAGUACUGAUGGCCUUUGAAUUUAAUAUGGAAUGACUGUUAAAAUGCUGGAAACUUUAAAAAAUGUUCUGCUAAUUAAACUCAAACCUUCAGUUACAAAAAGAUGAAGGAAGAACAUUGUAUGAACUUAGACAGCAACCCCAUUUUUGCCCUCACAAUUGUUUUUACAGAAAUGGCCAUUACUAUAUGAACACUUACAGAAUGGCCAGAAAAACAACUGUGAACCUCUUACACUUGUAGAAUUAGCUGAUGGUUCUGGGUAGAAUAGCAUGAGAUCUUUAUAGAAAAAAAGAAGUUUAUUUACUUGGUAGCAUUUUUCUGGUAGACUAUUUUUCUUGAGCUGUUUAAAUUCUUCUUUUCACCAAAUUCACACCACUGUGGGUCCUAGAAAAGCUGUAUGGCAUUGUUUCCCAGUAGUUACUAACAACAGGCUACCAUUUGCCAGCUUUGAUGUGAAGAGAUGUCAAAUCUACAAGUGCUCCAGAUUACUUAAAAUAUCUAAAUGUACCCUAACUUAAGUCAGACAACUGAGGGCCCCAUUCUGCAAAAUACCUCCACUCAGACAGUGUUGAAGGUGCUUAAAUGUUUUUCAUGCCAGGUCCCCUGUUGUGAUAAAAUGAAUAAUAUUGGACAACACCCAACUGGUGUUAUUGGAUGAAGCCAGAUCCUGUGAUUCUAUACAAGGCAGUGCAGAAGCAAAAAGGCAGCAUCCGCAGCUAGUUCCAAACUCAGCUGACUUUCUGUACAACCCUAGUAGCAACUGUGCUUAGCUAUAGCCUCAGUGAAGGGAGAUUGUCCUGUUGAGAGAAGUUCUCAAUCAGCCAAACUGGAAUCUUCACUGUGGACAUUAUCUAAGGGAAUUAACUGGAUAAAGGUCCAACUAUGGCCUAGCUGAACAGAUCACUCCUUCUUAAAUACUGAUUGCUGUUGAAAACCGCUCAUACAGAAAAAGGGAGAAAAUCUCAGGAUGCACACUGUCUUUAUAUCUGGCAGGAUGCCAGGCAAGAACAACUGAGGUACUUUCUAUGAGGAUUAAAAUGAGAAAAAAGCUGUUUCUGUAUUCAAAUAAAAUUCCUUGUUCAAGUUUAGAAAGCAGCAAGCCUUUCACUGCCAGUAUUCUUGCAAUGUGUGUGAGCUGAUCUUGGCUUCUGCAGCUUUCUCCUCUUCCACAGAUCUUCUUCUCUCAUGAACCACUUUGCUUCUUAGCCACAAACUCAGAAACACUUUUUCUUGUUGUUUUUUAAAUAAUUUGCUGAGGCAUCCAUCCUUCAAAACUGUAUCCAUUUCUGCCCUACCCAUUUGGUCUUCUUCACAUGCUGACUACUUCAUUGAAAGUGUCAGAUGAGCAGGGACCCUAGUUUUCUCUGAUUUAAAAAAAUCCCCAAUUUUCAUUUAAAGAAAAGUAACCCCAAAUCAACAUGUAUAUACUAGUGGUGUUUCAUUUUAAUCACAAAAAUAUGUGGAUUUGGGGUUACUUUUUUUUAACCAAAAAUUGGAGAUUGUUUUUGUCACAACCCAGUUAAUCAGUGCCCAUGCCACUAGCAAGAGAUACCAUUCAAGUAGUCAACUAAGGGUUAAAAAGAAAUCCUUGCCAGACAUUCCUGAAAACAAAAUGCUGGCGGAGAACUGUAGGUAAUUGGUCAGCUGAAAUAAAAUGCUAGCAAAAACUGUAUAUAAUUGGUCAAGAAACAAGCGUAGAUACCUCACACGUAACAUACUAGAAACCUAACCCACUACCUUGUAACCUGAUAGCAAACUGAGAACACAAAGAACUGCUGCUUGCCAGAAAAUUAAAGAUUCCACAUAACAGUUCAUCAUUGGGUAUCUCCGUCAGACACCUCUGUCUAUAAAUAGUUUAGCAACUUCCGCAGUCGGAGAACCCCAGAAAAAUCUCUGAGGAGAGACCCGAGUCCAUCACCAGAGUAGAUUGACGGUCUGAACAGCUGUCAAUCUCUCCCCGUCAUAGUUAAUUUUGACGUAGUAAAGCCCUGCAGGCUCGAUACCGUUCUCGGCGCGCUUCGCUAGGUGCUGCAAGCUCUUCCAAUCUCCAUUUCAAAAAUGAAUCAGCACAGACCCACACUUCGCAACACGUCUACAUGGCGCUACAAGCCAAUUCCGACGAACGGGCCCCUGCAAGAAGCCCUUGUCGCCCUUUUACAGCGACUUGAACAACAGGGAUGCAUAAAACCAGUGGCCGCCAGUACUCCACACUCCAAAUAAACUAAUUGUCGUGAACCCAGUUACUGCUCUCGUUUUAUAUUUUUCAGGUCUGGCAGGGAGCGCGACGGCCAUAUACAACAGCAGCCCGUCACAAGAGCCACCGGAACAUCAGGCCGCUCCGACCUGGCACGCACCAGACCACCAUGGGGGCGUCUAUCGUGCUGAUCCUGUUGAGUGUUGUUGUCACUUCGGUGCCUUCUCCGGACCCUGGACCCUCCAACUCGAUCCUGUCUCUCCUGUCGGUUUGGGCCAACAUCACUGGAUCCGAUAAAGAGUCGGGACUUACUGCAUGCCUACGCCUUCCUCUUUGGGAGGACUCUUCUUGGCUAAUGUAUUUGUUAACACCCCUAAUUACUUUGUUGUUACCCAUUUGUUAUAUUGGUAUUCCCAAUGUGUCCCUUCCUCUAGAACACCAAAUCACGUCGAUGCAAAAAAUUGCAGCAAGAACCAAAACGUCGCAGGACUAGGAAAGGGGUGGUUAGCCGACCUUUUCGGCUGGAUGGGAUGGGAUACAUCAUCUUGGUUAAUGCAUUUACUAACCCCGCUUAUUACCUUGUGCUUGCCAUUAAUUGCGAUAGCCAUAGUUGUGUGUUUAGGUUGUUGUAUCUUGCAGCUCAUAAAGAAACAACUAAUGAUGCUUUCUGCUUUUGUAUACACCCGCUGGCCAUUAGAUAACUCCAAUGACAACGAGUAUGACGACGAGAACGAACUAUAGCCAAAAGUAAGUGGUCACUUGCUGUGCCAUGGGCAAGGGGGCAUGUCACAACCCAGUUAAUCAGUGCCCAUGCCACUAGCAAGAGAUACCAUUCAAGUAGUCAACUAAGGGUUAAAAAGAAAUCCUUGCCAGACAUUCCUGAAAACAAAAUGCUGGCAGAGAACUGUAGGUAAUUGGUCAGCUGAAAUAAAAUGCUAGCAAAAACUGUAUAUAAUUGGUCAAGAAACAAGCGUAGAUACCUCACACGUAACAUACUAGAAACCUAACCCACUACCUUGUAACCUGAUAGCAAACUGAGAACACAAAGAACUGCUGCUUGCCAGAAAAUUAAAGAUUCUACAUAAUGGUUCAUCACUGGGUAUCUCCGUCAGACACCUCUGUCUAUAAAUAGUUUAGCAACUUCCGCCCAGUCGGAGAACCCCGGAAAAAUCUCUGAGGAGAGACCUGAGUCCAUCACCAGAGUAAAUUGACGGUCUGAUCAGCUGUCAAUCUCUCCCCGUCAUAGUUAAUUUUGACGUAGUAAAGCCCUGCAGGCUCGAUACCGUUCUUGGCGCGCUUUGCUCGUCAUCGCUUGAUAUCGUAACCCGACCUUAUACGCUCAACUGUAAUCGAUGCAACUGUAACGAAACAAAGUCUCAGCCUGCAUCGCACGUCACUAUCUGGGCGACGUAAGUAAACAAUCUGCUGUAACCAA